UACGUAGGGUGCAAGCGUUUGUCCGGAUUUAUUGGGCGUAAAGAGCUCGUAGGCGGCUUGUCGCGUCGUCCGUGAAAACCUGCAGCUCAACUGCAGGCUUGCGGUCGAUACGGGCAGGCUAGAGUUCGGUAGGGGAGACUGGAAUUCCUGGUGUAGCGGUGAAAUGCGCAGAUAUCAGGAGGAACACCGAUGGCGAAGGCAGGUCUCUGGGCCGAUACUGACGCUGAGGAGCGAAAGCGUGGGGAGCGAACAGG
rnacentral:rRNA from 1 species